AGCACCAGAUAUUUCGACCGACACUACCAUCUUUGUUUUCUUCCCCCUCUAAAUUUUUGCUAACACUAUCACUUACCAACAAGAAACCAAAGUCCAAAAUUCUUUUCACCUCACAGCCCCACUCUGUUUUUCUCAUUGUCACUCUUCUAUUCACUUUUCCUUAUCAACUCUCUAUAAAUAGCCAUGCACCUUCUAUCAUUCAGAUUCCCCCCACCACUCUCUCCUUAUCCUCCUCCCUUUUUCUUCACUCUUUUUCAAAGAGUGAUAAUAUUAAUAUAUACUCUACUAUAGUAGUAGUAUUAAAUUAG